AUUGAACGCUGGCGGCAGGCCUAACACAUGCAAGUCGAACGGUAACAGGAAACAGCUUGCUGUUUCGCUGGCGAGUGGCGGACGGGUGAGUAAUGUCUGGGAAACUGCCUGAUGGAGGGGGAUAACUACUGGAAACGGUAGCUAAUACCGCAUAACGUCGCAAGACCAAAGAGGGGGACCCUCGGGCCUCUUGCCCUCGGAUGUGCCCAGAUGGGAUUAGCUUGUUGGUGGGGUAACGGCUCACCAAGGCGACGAUCCCUAGCUGGUCUGAGAGGAUGACCAGCCACACUGGAACUGAGACACGGUCCAGACUCCUACGGGAGGCAGCAGUGGGGAAUAUUGCACAAUGGGCGCAAGCCUGAUGCAGCCAUGCCGCGUGUAUGAAGAAGGCCUUCGGGUUGUAAAGUACUUUCAGCGGGGAGGAAGGGAGUAAAGUUAAUACCUUUGCUCAUUGACGUUACCCGCAGAAGAAGCACCGGCUAACUCCGUG
rnacentral:rRNA from 1 species